rnacentral:rRNA from 1 species
UACGAAGGGGGCUAGCGUUGCUCGGAAUCACUGGGCGUAAAGGGUGCGUAGGCGGGUUUUUAAGUCAGGGGUGAAAUCCUGGAGCUCAACUCCAGAACUGCCUUUGAUACUGAAGAUCUUGAGUCCGGGAGAGGUGAGUGGAACUGCGAGUGUAGAGGUGAAAUUCGUAGAUAUUCGCAAGAACACCAGUGGCGAAGGCGGCUCACUGGCCCCGGUACUGACGCUGAGGCACGAAAAGCGUGGGGAGCAAACAGGG